AACGUAGGUACCGAGCGUUAUCCGGAUUUACUGGGCGUAAAGCGUGUUCAGGCGGCCUGGCAAGUCGGGCAUGAAAUCUCUCGGCUCAACCGAGAGAGGCUGUCCGAUACUGCUGGGCUUGAGGACGGUAGAGGGUGGUGGAAUUCCGCGUGUAGUGGUGAAAUGCGUAGAUAUGCGGAGGAACACCAGUGGCGAAGGCAGCCCCCUGGGUUAACACUGACGCUCAGGCACGAAAGCGUGGGGAGCAACAGG
rnacentral:rRNA from 1 species